AAGGGUAAGUCAUACACGACCAGCUCCUGCUGAAUCCCCCAGGACCGGAAGGUAGCAAGGGUAGGUGGUUGUAGCGGUGCGAUGUAUUCAGCUUACCCU
rnacentral:SRP_RNA from 1 species